UUGAAGAGUUUGAUCAUGGCUCAGAUUGAACGCUGGCGGCAGGCCUAACACAUGCAAGUCGAGCGGUAGCACAGAGAGCUUGCUCUCGGGUGACGAGCGGCGGACGGGUGAGUAAUGUCUGGGAAACUGCCUGAUGGAGGGGGAUAACUACUGGAAACGGUAGCUAAUACCGCAUAACGUCGCAAGACCAAAGUGGGGGACCUUCGGGCCUCAUGCCAUCAGAUGUGCCCAGAUGGGAUUAGCUAGUAGGUGGGGUAACGGCUCACCUAGGCGACGAUCCCUAGCUGGUCUGAGAGGAUGACCAGCCACACUGGAACUGAGACACGGUCCAGACUCCUACGGGAGGCAGCAGUGGGGAAUAUUGCACAAUGGGCGCAAGCCUGAUGCAGCCAUGCCGCGUGUGUGAAGAAGGCCUUCGGGUUGUAAAGCACUUUCAGCGGGGAGGAAGGCGAUAAGGUUAAUAACCUUGUCGAUUGACGUUACCCGCAGAAGAAGCACCGGCUAACUCCGUGCCAGCAGCCGCGGUAAUACGGAGGGUGCAAGCGUUAAUCGGAAUUACUGGGCGUAAAGCGCACGCAGGCGGUCUGUCAAGUCGGAUGUGAAAUCCCCGGCUCAACCGGGAACUGCAUUCGAAACUGGCAGGCUAGAGUCUUGUAGAGGGGGGUAGAAUUCCAGGUGUAGCGGUGAAAUGCGUAGAGAUCUGGAGGAAUACCGGUGGCGAAGGCGGCCCCCUGGACAAAGACUGACGCUCAGGUGCGAAAGCGUGGGGAGCAAACAGGAUUAGAUACCCUGGUAGUCCACGCCGUAAACGAUGUCGAUUUGGAGGUUGUGCCCUUGAGGCGUGGCUUCCGGAGCUAACGCGUUAAAUCGACCGCCUGGGGAGUACGGCCGCAAGGUUAAAACUCAAAUGAAUUGACGGGGGCCCGCACAAGCGGUGGAGCAUGUGGUUUAAUUCGAUGCAACGCGAAGAACCUUACCUGGUCUUGACAUCCACAGAACUUUCCAGAGAUGGAUUGGUGCCUUCGGGAACUGUGAGACAGGUGCUGCAUGGCUGUCGUCAGCUCGUGUUGUGAAAUGUUGGGUUAAGUCCCGCAACGAGCGCAACCCUUAUCCUUUGUUGCCAGCGGUCCGGCCGGGAACUCAAAGGAGACUGCCAGUGAUAAACUGGAGGAAGGUGGGGAUGACGUCAAGUCAUCAUGGCCCUUACGACCAGGGCUACACACGUGCUACAAUGGCAUAUACAAAGAGAAGCGACCUCGCGAGAGCAAGCGGACCUCAUAAAGUAUGUCGUAGUCCGGAUUGGAGUCUGCAACUCGACUCCAUGAAGUCGGAAUCGCUAGUAAUCGUAGAUCAGAAUGCUACGGUGAAUACGUUCCCGGGCCUUGUACACACCGCCCGUCACACCAUGGGAGUGGGUUGCAAAAGAAGUAGGUAGCUUAACCUUCGGGAGGGCGCUUACCACUUUGUGAUUCAUGACUGGGGUGAAGUCGUAACAAGGUAACCGUAGGGGAACCUGCGGUUGGAUCACCUCCUU
rnacentral:rRNA from 1 species